rnacentral:rRNA from 1 species
UACGUAGGGACCGAGCGUUGUCCGGAUUCAUUGGGCGUAAAGAGCGUGUAGGCGGCCCGGUAAGUCCGCUGUAAAAGUCAAAGGCUCAACCUUUGAAUGUCAGUGGAUACUGCCGGGCUAGAGUCCGGAAGAGGCGAGUGGAACUCCUGGUGUAGCGGUGGAAUGCGCAGAUAUCAGGAAGAACACCAACGGCGAAGGCAGCUCGCUAGGACGGUACUGACGCUGAGACGCGAAAGCGUGGGGAGCGAACAGG